UGGCCACAUUACUUUGAAACACUAAUUCCCAUACAAUCACCAAAGUUAAGCAAUGUUGAGUUCAGUUAGUACCUAGAUGGGUGACUACUUGGGAAUACUAGGUACUGUAAG